GGAAAUUUAUCUUUUUCACGAGAGGUGGAUCAAAACUUUUUACACCUAACCAUUUGGUCAAUUGUGCAUAAAAUAUGUCCUAGUAUUUUAGAAAAUUGAUUUGGUACAAUUUUGCAACAAUUAUUUGGGAGGUCCUUCACAAAAAAACCCUUUUAGGCACUCGAAAAAUGGAAAAUGAAUUUUCCUUGCAAAGAGAUGAAAAUCCCUUAGGCAACAUUGUUUGGAAUUCCAAGAUGCACCAUUGUGCAGAAUAUGACAUCAUUUGAACAAACUAUGCCAUGAAUGUGGCCAUAAGAUUGAUCAUUUGGUUUGAAAGCCAUGAAUCUUCACGCAUGGUAACUCAUUUUUUAGAACACUUUUUUAAAAUAAUUGUCGUAUUACAAGUUUAUUAUUUUUCCUGGUAACUUGGUCACAUAUAAUGACACAAUGCGAAGGUUUCCCAAUUUUUUGAUUUUUUUUGAAUUUUUUAUACCCGUUUCAAAAUGCGGUCAAAACGGCGGGCUUGACCGUUCCUAGCUAGUGGUUGAAUCUUGGAAGUUUUUUGGUGUUUCCCUGAUUAAAUAGAUACCUUUGUACCUAAAAAUGAUUUUUGGAACAAAUAUAGAGCAAACUAUGAGGCAGCUGCAGUUCAAAUUUGACCCGCUUCCAACUAAAUCGGCGGAAAUUUGUCUUUUUCACCAGAGGUGGAUCAAAGCUUUGACACCCAACCAUUUGGUCAAUUACGCAUUAAAUAUGGCCUAGUAUUUUAGAAAAUUCAUUUCGUCCAAUUUUACAACAUUUAUUUGGUAGGUUCUUCACAAGAAAACUCAUUUGGGGCAUUCAAAAAAUGAAAAAUGAAACUUUCGUCUAAAGAAAAUGAAAACUUCCUUAAGCAACAUCGUUUGUAAUUCCAAUAUGCACGCUUGUGCAAAUAUGAUAUAAUUUGAACAAACAAUGCGAUUGAUGUGGCCAUAGCAAGGGAAAAUGAUUUUUGUGUGCAAAGAAAAUGAAACCCCCUUGAAAUCAACAUUGUUUGUCAUCCCAAGAUAAACACAUGUGCAGAAUGUUGGUUCAUUUUGAUGAACUAUAAGAGGGUAAUAUAUU
rnacentral:lncRNA from 1 species